GACGAACGCUGGCGACGUGCUUAACACAUGCAAGUCGAACGGAAAGGCCCUGCUUUUGUGGGGUGCUCGAGUGGCGAACGGGUGAGUAACACGUGAGUAACCUGCCCUUGACUUUGGGAUAACUUCAGGAAACUGGGGCUAAUACCGGAUAUGAGCUCCUGCUGCAUGGUGGGGGUUGGAAAGUUUCGGCGGUUGGGGCUGGACUCGCGGCUUAUCAGCUUGUUUGUGGGGUCGUGGCUUACCAAGGCUUUGACGGGUAGCCGGCCUGAGAGGGUUGCCGGCCACAAUGCGACUAAGAUACGGACCAGCCUACUACGGGCGGCAGCAGGGGGGAAUAUUGCACAAUGGGCCGAAGCCUGAUGCAGAAACGCCGCGUGCGGGAUGACGGCCUUCGGGUUGUAAACCGCUUUCGCCUGUGACGAAGCGUGAGUGACGGUAAUGGGUAAAGAAGCACCGGCUAACUACGUG
rnacentral:rRNA from 1 species